rnacentral:rRNA from 1 species
CCAGACUCCUACGGGAGGCAGCAGUGGGGAAUAUUGCACAAUGGGGGAAACCCUGAUGCAGCGACGCCGCGUGAAGGACGAAGUAUUUCGGUACGUAAACUUCUAUCAGCAGGGAAGAAAAUGACGGUACCUGACCAAGAAGCCCCGGCUAACUACGUGCCAGCAGCCGCGGUAAUACGUAGGGGGCAAGCGUUAUCCGGAUUUACUGGGUGUAAAGGGAGCGUAGACGGCAGCACAAGUCUGGAGUGAAAUGCCGGGGCUUAACCCCGGAACUGCUUUGGAAACUGUGCAGCUGGAGUGCAGGAGAGGUAAGCGGAAUUCCUAGUGUAGCGGUGAAAUGCGUAGAUAUUAGGAGGAACACCAGAGGCGAAGGCGACUCACUGGACUGUAACUGACGCUGAGGCUCGAAAGCGUGGGGAGCAAACAGGAUUAGAUACCCCGGUAAGG